AUGGCGGGCUACAAUCGUCUCAUUAUUAACUUUGACAACAUGGAGGUCAUGGACACAAUGAAGAAUGGAGGACAAUCUGCAGGAGCGGCGGCCGUAGUUUUUGAUCAUUGCUACUUUAUGGCUUGCGAUUUUCCUCUUACUUUUGAACAUUGUAAUAGGGAAGCUAAUAAAGUAGCCCAUGAGCUUGCUAUUCUAGCACAUUGUUCCAUGAAAAGCGAUUGGUUAGAGGAACCUAGGGAACAAAUUGUAUCUCUUCUUAUAAAUUAUGUAACCAUUCUUUCUAAUUAA
rnacentral:rRNA from 1 species